rnacentral:lncRNA from 1 species
AAAAUUGCCCAGAUGCUUCAUGAAUCCACCAGGAUAAAAAAAUAGAAGGUCCACUGCAGACUGCGGGCAGGAGCUAAAUCCUGCCUUCCACGCUGGCCGCCCAUCAUCUCCAUAAUGGUGAGAUAGAGAAGGAAGAGGGCAAAAAGAGAGCUGGAGUGGGUCCAAGCAGUCCAGGCCUCUGUUUCCAUGUUUCUUAGGAGCCGGCAUGACCCUCGCUCAGGCGGCACAGAGAGCAGAUGUGCAUCUCAGUUCUGCCCUCCCCACUGGCCACCAGUCAUCUCCCCAAUAGAGAUGAGGAAAAGAAAUGGGAUGGAGCUUGAGAGGGACCAAAUUGCUCAGGCCAAGAAAAGGCGGAGGAGGGCUUCCAAACCAGCCAAGGCAACAAGAGCAACCGUGUGGAGGAGGACAAGAAGGUUCAGCAGAAGAAUGGGGGGGGGGUCUUUUACACAAAGAAGCCACCUGGCCUCCCCUGCCAUCUCUGUGGCCAGCCCAGAAGAAUGGAAUUCGGCCACAUCACCUACAAGGAGUUUUUGCUCCACCGCCUCUGGCCAGAGUGCCUCCGACUGGCUGGCAGAGCAGAAGUUGGUGGAUGGGUCAUGCAGGGGAAGAAACGUCCCAAAAACCACAGCCUGGAAUACUCAAAAAAGAAUGCAAAGGGAAACAAAAGGCUGAGGAGUUUGGCAUCACCCUGAAGGACAAGAAAAGGCUUGGUUUCCACAAUUGCAACCUAUGUGGUCAACCACGACAAAAGUCUUUCGGGCACAGCUUCUCCUUGCUAUGUGGCAAAAGCACAGGUUGAGUUGGUGGAGGUGGCUGCGGCAAAAGCACAGGCUGAGGUGGUGGAGGUGGCUGCGGCAUAAGCACAGGCUGAGGUGGCUGCGGCAUAAGCGCAUGCUGAGGUGGCGCAGGUGGCUGCAGCAUAAGCACAGGCUGAGGUGGCUGCGGCAUAAGCACUGGCUGAGGUGGCUGUGGCAACAACACAGAGUGAGGCAGUAGACGUGGUUGAGGUGGCACUGGCAAGCGACCAGGUUGUUGUGGUAUCAGCUGGCUUUGCAGGUAUGACACUGCAGCAGAAACCUGACGCUGUCCUCUCCGUGCAGCCUGCCCAGACCGAUCCGGAGGAGUGAUGAACUCAAAUGGCCUCGGAUGUUCAGGCUUUGGAUCAAUCUGCCUGGGCUCAGGUUGUGGGGUGGCUGACAGAAUGCUGGGAUUGGGUGCAGGGAUCUGCAUUGACAGCACAACCUGUUCCUGCUUCUUCUGGAAAUUGUUGUGCCUAUUAAAUCAAAAAAAAAGAAAAAAGAAGAGAAAACAAACACAUAAAUAAAUAAUUUUCAGGGUUCA